rnacentral:sRNA from 1 species
AUGGCUGUCGUCAGCUCGUGUCGUGAAAUGUUGGGUUAAGUCCCGCAACGAGCGCAACCCUUAUCCUUAUUUGCCAGCACGUAAUGGUGGGAACUCUAAGGAGACUGCCGGUGAUAAACCGGAGGAAGGUGGGGACGACGUCAAGUCAUCAUGGCCCUUACGAGUAGGGCUACACACGUGCUACAAUGGCGCAUACAAAGGGCUGCAAACCAGCGAUGGUAAGCGAAUCCCAUAAAGUGCGUCGUAGUCCGGAUUGGGGUCUGCAACUCGACCCCAUGAAGUCGGAAUCGCUAGUAAUCGUGGAUCAGAAUGCCACGGUGAAUACGUUCCCGGGCCUUGUACACACCGCCCGUCACACCAUGGGAGUGGGCUGCACCAGAAGUCAUUAGCUUAACCCUUCGGGGAGGGCGAUGACCACGGUGUGGUUCAUGACUGGGGUGAAGUCGUAACAAGGUAGCCCUAGGGGAACCUGGGGCUGGAUCACCUCCUUACGUAAAGUUGUUAAUUUUUGUAAGUGCCCACACAAAUUGCUUGAAUAGAAAAAUUAAAGACUGUCUUAUGUAAAUAAGACAACAUUUGGGAUGAAAUCCAAGUGUAGAAAGUAAAUAGUGUCCUGUUCGUCUAGAGGCCUAGGACACCGCCCUUUCACGGCGGUAACACGAGUUCAAAUCUCGUACGGGAUACCACUUUUUCUUUCUGAUUAAAAACCAAAGCUAAGUAAUGUAAUAUUUAGCUUUGCUUUUUAGCAAAUGCUCUUUAAAAAUUUGGAAAGCUGAAUAAAUAAAGAAGUUCUUAAAACACGUUAUUAAGUUAUUUACUUCACUGUAGAUAAUGUAAUAGCAAUAGAGUGUUCUUGAGUAUUCUUGAGGCGAAAAAAACUAGAUAAUACCUAGUUAUUUCAAUUAUACGGUCUGUUUUAGAUUGUAUGGUUAAGUGACUAAGCGUAUACGGUGGAUGCCUAGGCAGUCAGAGGCGAUGAAGGACGUGUUAAUCUGCGUUAAGCUGUGGGGAGUUGAUAAAAAGCAUUGAUCCACAGAUGUCCGAAUGGGGAAACCCGG